rnacentral:lncRNA from 1 species
UAUUCAUCAGUCAACUGAUUUGUUGAAGAUCUCAAUAAUAUAAUCUGCCUUUUAUAAAUUUCCUCACAUUUCAUGAUCUUUUGCCUAAAUGUCUUGACUCAUUGAUACUCAAUCAAGUCCACAGUUCAGUGGAGGAACUUCAGGGCACCCUUGGGGUAAUGCAGGUGCCAUUCCGAUAUAUAACUCUUCUAUAGAGUUCAUUAAUAUCCGAGCUCAUUAGUUUACCCGAAUGUGAGGGAAAGAUAAUUUAUACUGAUACCGAAAAGAUCUUUUUCUCAAGGGUAGAGAACCUGUUGUUGUCUCGGCUGCACUACCGGAAGCUUUGGGGAAGUCAGAAUAGGAGAGUAAAUGCACCCCGACUACAGAUUAGGCUACAUUUUUCACAAAUUUUACGAACAUAAGCUCUUGUGUUCAUUUGUUAAAAAGAAUGCUUUAUGUGGAAGUGAUGAUUGAUUGAUCAAAUCAGAUUUAAGUAAACAUGAUUCUUGUUGCUUCAUUGCCAUUCUUAAGGAUUUUCGUGUACAUUUCUUUCGGUUGCAUA